UGGGGAAUAUUGCACAAUGGAGGAAACUCUGAUGCAGCGACGCCGCGUGAGCGAAGAAGUAUCUCGGUAUGUAAAGCUCUAUCAGCAGGGAAGAAAAAAAUGACGGUACCUGACUAAGAAGCCCCGGCUAACUACGUGCCAGCAGCCGCGGUAAUACGUAGGGGGCAAGCGUUAUCCGGAUUUACUGGGUGUAAAGGGAGCGCAGGCGGAAGGCUAAGUCUGAUGUGAAAACCCGGGGCUCAACCCCGGGACUGCAUUGGAAACUGGUCAUCUGGAGUGUCGGAGAGGUAAGUGGAAUUCCUAGUGUAGCGGUGAAAUGCGUAGAUAUUAGGAGGAACACCAGUGGCGAAGGCGGCUUACUGGACGACAACUGACGCUGAGGCUCGAAAGCGUGGGGAGCAAACAGG
rnacentral:rRNA from 1 species